GAGCCACCCAGGCUCCCUGCCAAGGAAACAUUUUCAGAGGGCUCUGAGUUUGGGCUGGGAAAGGUUGGGAAAGUCUUCUUGGAUGAAGUGAAUCAUCGGCUAACUCAUAAAAGUUAAGGCCAGUAAUAUUUUCAAAAAUUACAUGCUACUAAUACCUGAAUAUUGUAGAAGGGUUUUCACAUUGUCUAUAAACCUGUACAUUUUUUUUACAACUUCCUGAAAAGCUGCUUCAACUUUGUACUAAUUUAUUCACAAAUAUUAGACAUGAUGACGAGUCUGACACGUUAAACUCCAUACCAGCCUCAUAUGUCCGUCUCGGGGCAUAUUGGGCUUCCAAAUCCACAUGAGCAUGUUGAAUAGGAGUCAGUCUUGUCAGGCCCAAUUUAAACAGCCUUGAUGUGCAGAGUCUGAUUGGAAUUCCAACUGCUACAACUGACGUUUUCUUUUUUUCCCCUAACUCCGUGGGUAAUGCUUGAAUAAAAUGCUCCUCUGAACAUUUACCAGGAUCUGCAGAUGCUGCAGAGCCCUGUUCAAUCCCCGCCAAGGCUACAAACUUCUGUUCCAUGACUCUUGAGACUCACGGUUAUUUUUCUGUCUAUAAAAGAACUACCUGGAGACAGCCCAGCUUUUACAGUGCUUUUAACUGAUUUUUCCAAAUGACAUAUUUUAGCCCAACACAAGAAAUGUUUCAGUGUGGGACUCAGGAAUAAAGUAGUUCCAUUGGGGAGCAAAAAAUUUCACAUGAGCUUAGAAGGAAUGUGUGCUUCCUGGUUUCAUCAAGAAAGCAGAGGAUCCGAAAUACCUGAGGCAAAUUUGAUUUGUCUUACGUGAUUUUUCCGUGAGUGCUCGUGGGCCUGAAUCUUUUUCCUCCAAUUUAAAGGUCCGUAGUCCUGCUCCAUGAAUCUCCUGUUUGGUAUAGAAGAGGGGAAAGUGCGUUUCCCAGGGUGAGUGGGCCCAUGUAGGUUCACAGGCAGCCAUUCGUACAGGAGCUAACACUGAGGCCCCAACUCUGGUGGUGCCAUCUGCUUCUUACUCAGCCCCGUGCAUCUCCGCCAUUGGAACAAGCAUAUGACCAACCCAGCUUGCUUUACAUCUCAUUGUCCACGAACUAUUUAAGUUGGAAAAAUUGCACAGAGGAGCUAUCGUCCAUCUCCAAGAAAUUUUGGCUGGACAUGCCUCAGUCACACAUGACCAAUAUGUAAACUAUAUUUUUCAUUAAAAAGGUGCUCUGAAGAAAAAUUGGAUAUUCCAGAGAUCGUAGCAGGCAAAAAUCAGCUACACAAUCUUUUUCUAAUCAUCACAACAAAGCAGCACAUCAAGAAUUCUCAUUUUUCUAUUGGAAAAUAAAGUUAUGUUAAUCAGAAACAACGGCAUUUGGUCUACUUUAGAUCAAAGGCCCCUCCAUACCACAGAGGGCCAAUUCCCGCUCUUGUUAAGACAAAAGCCUUGGGUAAAAAAAAUACGACAGUACUUUUUUUCUUUUUUUGUGGACCAUUUCCUCAUUGUGGCUUCCAAUAAACCUCUCAGUGGUUAGCAAGUUUUGACCAAAAUGUUGAGCAAGAUCUUUUCCUACGGGGGAAUGGAGAUUUAAACUUUGAGGUCUCAAUCAGGUAGGCAUCAGAUAAACAUGAACUGCAAAUCCCUCCAAUGAAAAUAAAUUCUUCAAUAAUUAAUAAAGCUCCGUGCCCCACUUCACCCUGGAUUUCUAUAGUCAAUUGGAAAAUGAACUUUGUUGACAGAUGCGGUUUACUGUGGGUAUCAACCCCGUGUCCUAGCGAGCACUCUGGAAGGGGAAGUGAAGACACCUGCUCGCUAGGAAGCACGAGAGCUGGGAUUGGCCCCCAGGCCCCCGGCUUCACAGCCUGAAGCUUCGGUCACCACGGUCACCACGUUCGAUUCCUCCUCCGCGUGACCACCCGGUGCAUGUUUACUACCUACCUGAUGUGCUGUAAUGUGAGCUACAUGAAUUCCCUGUAGACAAAUGUCAAACACAGGAGGGAGAUGCUUUACAAAUAUUUCUCUUAGUCAAGGCUUUGGCCAACAUUUCCACUAAUUUUUCUUAAAUUUGAAAUAAGUACCAUCCUGUCUGCCUCUACGACUCCCCUUUUCUCUACACUCCAAGGCUACUUCACUUUUCCAUUUGUUUCCUAUUCCCCUUGCCUUAGCAGGGCUGGCUCCACCCCCCACCCCACCCCGCCCCCAGGGACCCAGGCUCCUUGGGCCGGAGAGCAGGAGCCCGUGUGCCUGCAUCAGCAUCACCUGGAGGGCCGGUUGGCGGUUGGCCCAUGUUGCUGGGCGCCAGCCCUGGAGGUCCUCGAGCACUAGGUCUGGAGCGAGGCCCAAGAAUGUCAAGUUCUAGGUUCCUAGGGGCCACACAUGGAAAAUCAGUCGUGUGGCUCCUGAAAGAAAGAACCUCUGAGGGGAUCCCUGGGUGGCUCAGUGGUUUAG